GAUAAUAAAAGAGGAACUGAUGAAUCGGUGGUCAAAGAUGAGAAUGAAGAUAAAGUGACGUAUGAGACGAUCAACAUGUCCAUUCCUGCUGCUGCGAGAGACCAUGAGCAGACGGAUGAUGUGACUUACUCUGAAGUCUCUUCUUCCAGUAAGAAGCCAGUAAAAUCGCUCAGUGAUCAUAAUGACACAGUGACUUACGCUGCCAUCAGAUGAACAGAAUAUGAAGCACAGGAUGAACUUUACAAGAACAAGAGCUUCACAAAUAGACAUUCAUUAAAACAGAUCACUGCGUGAGCUCCUCAUGUCAGCAGCAGAUGAGACGUUUUCCACGACUGCUGAGAUUCAUGGCUUUGCUGCUUGGAAGAAUUAGAUAUUUGUUUGUCAACGAACAGAACUUUUAUGUCAGAUAGUUGUUGAAUUCAAAAUCAAAGUGCUGUAAAAAUGUUUCCAGAUUUUUAAACUAAAUGCAGUAGAAACUACUCUUGCUUUCAGCAUGUGUAUAGCUGUUUUUUUUUAAGAGAAAGAUAUCAGGUCAGAGCCGGAUUUACAUCUUAUUGUGACUUAGGCAAAAGCAACCCCACCCCCCGUUCCCUAUUAAUAUAUAAUAUUACCACCCCAAAACAUAUAGUUUUCUCUAUCGCAAUAAGCGACAAGUUGUUCAGCUUGCAUUCAGUCGCUGAAGAUUGAAUGUAGUUUCUUCACUCUUUUGAGAACAGAGGAAGAUGUUUCAUUACUCUCGUUGCUAAUUCAAAAUGUCAUUUUAGAGCAAAUAAAAGAGGCUUGAGCUAUUGAUAUGCAGAAUAAUGCAGUUAUUUGAGAGAGAG